CGUCUAUAUACGUAUAGCAUAUCAAUAAGCGGAGGAAAAGAAACUAACUAGGAUUCCCUCAGUAACGGCGAGUGAAGCGGGAAGAGCUCAAAUUUGAAAUCUUCAAGGUUCUACCUUGACGAAUUGUAGUUUAAAGAAGUGUUUUCUGUUGGAGUUUUGGUAAAAGUUCUUUGGAAUAGGACAUCAUAGAGGGUGAGAAUCCCGUAUUUGACCAUUAUUUCCAACUUUGUGAUACACUUUCAAAGAGUCGGAUUGUUUGGGAAUGCAGUCCAAAAUGGGUGGUAAAUUUCAUCUAAAGCUAAAUACUGGCGAGAGACCGAUAGCGAACAAGUACCGUGAGGGAAAGAUGAAAGAACUUUGAAAAGAGAGUUAAACAGUACGUGAAAUUGUCAAAAGGGAAGCGUUUGACACCAGUGUUGUUUUCUCGAAUAUCAAUUAAAAAUGGCAGGAUUUUGUGUUGUAUUGACUUUAUCAGCUUUCUGCACUUUUUUCCUAUCUUUUUUAAUGCACUUUUCGUUUAACAAGUCAACAUCAAUUUCUUUUGUUGUAAAAGAGUCAUUGGAAGGUGGCUUUCUUUUCGGAGAAAGUGUUUAUAGCCUUUGACUUCUGCAAUCGGAGAGAUUGAGGUCUGCAGCAUAGAUCCUUCGGGGUUAGAUGCAUUUGUGCUAAGUUAUAGCCUUUCAUAGACAACUUGUUGACUAUGAUCAGUCAUGUAGCUUACUCGCUUAUGUUAUUUUACCUACGCUUAGGAUGUUGACGAUCAGCUGAGCGCG
rnacentral:rRNA from 1 species